rnacentral:rRNA from 1 species
GACGAACCGUGCAAACGUUGUUCGGAAUCACUGGGCUUAAAGGGCGCGUAGGCGGCUCGCCAAGUCGGGGGUGAAAUCUUUCGGCUCAACCGGAAAAGUGCCUUCGAUACUGGCGGGCUGGAGGGAGGUAGGGGCAUGUGGAACUUCCGGUGGAGCGGUGAAAUGCGUUGAUAUCGUUUGGAACGCCAAUGGUGAAAACAACUUGCUGGGGGUGUGCUGACGCUGAGACACGAAAGCCAGGGGAGCAAACGGG